rnacentral:rRNA from 1 species
AGUGAACGCUGGCGGUAGGCCUAACACAUGCAAGUCGAACGGCAGCACAGUAAGAGCCUGCUCUUACGGGUGGCGAGUGGCGGACGGGUGAGGAAUACAUCGGAAUCUACUUUUUCGUGGGGGAUCACGUAGGGAAACUUACGCUAAUACCGCAUACGACCUACGGGUGAAAGCAGGGGAUCUUCUGACCUUGCGCGAUUGAAUGAGCCGAUGUCGGAUUAGCUAGUUGGCGGGGGAAAGGCCCACCCAGUCGACGAUCCGUAUCUGGUCUGAGUGGAUGGUCAGCCACACUGGAACUUAGACACGGUCAAGAGUCCUACGGGAGGCAGCAGUGGGGAAUAUUGGACAAUAGGCGCAAGCAUUAUCCAGCCAUACCGCGUGGGUGAAGAAGGCCUUCGGUUUGUAAAGCCCUUUUGUUGGGAAAGAAAAGCAGCAGGUUAAUACGCCGCUGUUCUGACGGUACCCGAAGAAUAAGCACCGGCUAACUUCGUG